CAGGAUUAUGACUUAAGAGCCCAGAUUUGCAUCUCACACCCGCUACUUACGCGCCAGGGGCCUCUGUGGAUGCCACUCCACAGCCUCGUGUGUUAAGAGGCACACAAGAGCUGCCUGAUUGGCUCCCAAGCUCAGAACCAGGAGCCAGGGAAAUCAUAGCGAAAUCAGAACCUGAUGUGGCCCCGUCAGCAUCACGCGCACACUCAGAGCAAAAUGACCUGCUCUUCAAUGUAAUUUGGUUUAGUUUAGUUCAGUUGUCCUGCCCACCAGCUCCUGACCCUCCCGCCACUGAGGGGUGGUAUUUGAAAGCACAGGCAAGUUAAUGAAGCAUCCAAUUCAUGCCAGCUUUUAUCUGUCAGAGAAACACCAGCGAGCAAGGUAGAGACACCAAGCCAAACCCUGAUGUGUUCCAUCUGAUCACGGUCUUCAGCCAGAGAUGUCUCCUUCCUCCGUUCCCCCAGCUGAGUUUCCAAGCCCAGAAAGGAGGAGCAAAUACACCUGAGUUUGGGACCUUCUUCCCUCAGUUCUGUAUCCAUUUUCCCUGAGCUGGACACAGACUUCAAAUACCAUCUUUCGGCCGCAGUUUAGUCUGUCAAGCCAUCGUUCCAUGUGGUAUUACUCUUUUCUAUUUCAGAGAAUGAAUUCUCUGAAAUUGCCAGAAAUAACCUCACACCUCACCGCAGUUACCCCUACCCAUUAGUGGGAAAUGGCUGUGGUCGCUCUCUCUGGAAUUAUUGUGCUGUGAGGUCAAGGAUGGCAAGUGCAGUGGAAGCCAUCUGCUUUAGCACCAUUAGUGCACUUUGUAGAUAAUUAUGGAAUUUGUCAAGCAUUCCUUGGGAUUCACUUCAGCUGCCCAGUCUUGUGAGUGAACUUUGACAAUAGAAAAUUGUGGUUGAUUUCUGUUUGUUUGGGUACUGUUCCCAUAGUAAUAAGAAUAAUUAUUAAUAAAUGGAGAAAGUUGUGCUAAGGGUUUGUCAAUAAAUAACCUUAAUUUUUUUUUUUAUUUAAAAAAUGCUCACAAUGAAGAUCUAAAGCAGAAAGAAGCAGGGACAUCUCACAGUCUCUUUUCUUUUCGGGCUUAUCUUGGAGCCCUGCUCUGCUGUGUAAGAAGAGAAGACACUCAACGGCACAAAAGGAGGCUGAGGUCCCCCCUUCCACCCUUCCCUGAGCAGAGCCGUCUGACACUGGAGCCCAGCUGCUCCCCAUCUUCCUGCACAUCCUCAGCUCUCAGGGGCAGCUGCCAGCUUGGUCUCAGACACGCUCGCUUCCCAGACCCCAAUCUCAUUUGUAAAAUGACAGUUGGAGCGCAUCUGGCCUGGCGACUUUGUUCAGAACAUCAUGUGGCUUCCUUUCUCUGUAACUCCACCCUUCACUGCAGAAGUUCAGACCACCAGUGGGUCCGUGAAACAAGUCUAAACAGACCUCUCUGUGUUCCUUCUCGAUGCAUCUACUAG
rnacentral:lncRNA from 1 species